UUGAGUUGAUUUAAUGCUAGGGUUUGAACAUCCCCAUUUCAAUUUUAGGCAAAAUUUAAACAUGAUGCAACACAUGACUAGCUAGUUCAGAGCAAACCAGAAGCUAGGGAUGUGACAAAUCUGCACUUCAUUCUACUAAACUCAACAAUGUCCCUACUGCCUUGGUCACUUCUGAAGAUGCUGCACAUCUGACCAGUCACACCCAGGCUGCAGAUCAUGAGGGAGUCAAUCUACUUCAGGAAACUGCAGGAUCCAUUCACAAGACUGAGUUGACUAGUGAAGUACCACAAGAAGAGAUAGCUCUAGCUCCAAUACAGACCGAAGAAGAUCUUAUAGGAGCAAAAGGUUCAAAGAUCUGGAAAACCCAUUUUGCUCCAUCUAUUCACACCAAGGAAAUUAUACAGGCCACCACAGAACAUAACAACACAGAGGAGUUUGAACCUACUGAAGUGACUUAUGCAUCCUCCACAUGAGCACUUCAGAACAAGAAAAAGAGGAAAGACAAAAUUCCUUUGGUAGAGACUGAGGUCAUUGACAAAGACACCUCUGAAGAGAUCCUGUCCAAGAGACCCAAGAAGAUCAAAGGUGCAUGCUCCAUGUAGGAGGGGAACAAGAAUCCUAAGGAGCCUGGUAAAAAUGGAUUUAGUUCACCUUAUAUCAUUAUCAGCUGUAAUAUUUUGUGUCCUAAGAUGUUUACAGUCUGGUAUUGUGCUGUGCUACGAAACUUGUAUGAGACUUUUUUUCUUCUUCUGCUACUAUGUAUGACUAUAUGGAAAGUGGCUCAAUUAUGCUUUUGUUCUGGACUUAUGAAAAGUGGCAUAACUACUUCCUCACCC